rnacentral:sRNA from 1 species
ACAAAAAAAACCAUAUUGGAAUUGCAAUUUCCGCAAAAACCUUCUGUUCCCUUGUGCCUCUUCGAUAGUCCACAUCAAACUGUUGAAUUGUGAAUUCUAUUGGUUUGUUUCGGCUCAAGAGAGGCUCGUUUCAUGCAGAUAUUUUGUGCUCCAGCUUACUCCUGAGCUACCUUCCUAUUCAGCGAUUUGUCCUGAACAUUUGGUCCUUCGAACCGGAUUGGUCAUUUGGUCCAAUUCGAGCCAGAUUAUCCAGCCCACUCUUUGAUAUUUCAACUCCCACAUAUUCCUACGUGUAAAAAGCACUAUGAACUCCAUCGAAAAGGCCAAGCAAACAAAAUUUGUUUGCAGAUUAUGCCGAAAACCGCAUGGGCUUAGAAGCUGCCAGCGAUUUCGAAAUACGAACAUUUCUGAAAGACUGAUAGUCGUAAAGAAAUACGGAUACUGGCAAAAUUGCCUCGC